rnacentral:rRNA from 1 species
GAUGAACGCUGGCGGCGUGCCUAAUACAUGCAAGUCGAGCGAACAGACGAGGAGCUUUCUCGUCUGACGCUAGCGUCUGAUGAGUGAGUAACAGGUGGAUAACCUACCUAUAAGGCUUAGAUAACGUCGCGAAACCGGAGCUAAUACCGGGUAAUAUAGUGAACUUCUUGGUUCAUUGGACAUAACCGGAUUUGAUGACUCUUGUAGAUGGAUCCGCGCCGAAUUAGCUAGUGGUUAAGGUAACGACUUACCAAGGCAACGAUGCGUAGCCGCCCUGGUAGGAUGAUCGGGCCCACUGGAACUGCGAAACGGCCCAGACUCCUACGGUAGGAAGCAGUAGGGACUCUUCCACAAUGGGCGCAAGCCUGCUGGAGCAAAGCCGCGUCAGUGACGAAGGUCUUCGGACAGUAAAGCUCUCUCAUGAGGGAAGAAGAACUGUGUAAGUAACCAUGACCGUUUUGACGGUAACUAAAAAAAAAGCCACGGCUAACUACGUG